ACCACACAAUAAUCAAUUAUUUCCUUGGAAACUGAGAUUACUAUAGAUUAUCCAUCUAACUAUCAAAAAGUCUAUCGUAUCCAGCUUUUUCUGAACGCUAUUCUUCUAAUUUCCAGGGAAAGGAAGGCGAGUCAGAAUAUUAUGUACUUCCAUAUUUUACAAGAGACAGGGGAGAAAAGCUAUAUAAUCAGAUUCUAUUUGAGAUUUUAGAGGGUCUUUAGAGACGAGUACCUAACGAUAAGGAGAUGUUGAUGGAGAAAAUUACUGUAUGCAUUACAAGCACUAUUUGUAGCUUGACUGAAUCCAAGUUUGCAAAAUGAGUGUCAGCUACAUAAAUUUAACAGGUCAAGACACUGAGGGGUUAGAAUUAUUAUUGAAGGAGAUGCAAGAGAGCUGCUAACCAUAAAUAAAGGGAUUAAAUUAAAAGGGAACAUACACAAUUUUUCUUUUGAUAUUUAUUCCAGUAGUGACCUUUAUCAGAGUAGCUCAGUAAAUUUAAGACUCAGAAAGUAUAGUUUGGAGGUAAUAUUACUUACAUUACAUUGUGAUUUCUCUCUUUGAGAACUUCGCUGGCCUAGCAUUGUGUGACUGAUACCAAAUAGGAGGAACAAUGGAGCACAGUGUGAAAGGGAACAUGACCAUAGGAGGCAAAAAAUUUUUAAGUAGAGGAAGCACAAAUGGCAGCAUUUUUUCUCUUGCUGAAAAGUCUUUUAUUCUGGCGUUGACAGUAGCAGAAGGGAAAAGCCCAUUGGAUGCCUGGGAAAGACAGUCUAAAAAUUGCAUGGACGUUUUUUUAAUAAAGAGCCUAUGAGGUCUGCAUUGAAAUGUGGUAUUUUAGCAGUGCUGGAAAAACAGGGAAGGGUGUGGGAUGAGAGAAGUGUUGUGGGCUUGAAUGUUAGUAUCUGUUUUUUCUUAGGUGUGGAAGAUUAAGUUUUUCAAAAGCAAAAGAAAGCAUUCCUGCCUUUCCACAUCAGUACCCAGGAGAAGCAAGGCAGAACUAUCCAAAGGACUGCCUUAUGAUUUGAGCCACAGGAAAGAACAAGGGGAAAUGGAAAGUCCCUCCCUUCAAGGAAAAAAAAAUUGAAUUAAAGAUAUAAAAGGAUCUGGGAGCAGGCUGAAAACUAGAGGGAGAACAUGAUAAACCAGUGAAGGAGUUCGGAGGCGUUCUAUGUGGCCACAUAUCACAUCCCUCAUGACACAUCAUUACUGCUAUUUCAGUCUCUGCAGAAGAACCAUUAUCUGUGAACUGGAGCAUGCUCAUCAAAGACUGCAUCCUGCAUGACGACAAGAGCUUAACACCAGCAAAUUAAUGAAGUGCGUGCUCAGUGCUAAGCACCCAAAGUCUCACUGACUUCAAGGGGACUAAACUUAAUUGCUCUGCUGGAUUAUGAUAGUGUUG